AGUGAACGCUGGCGGCAGGCCUAACACAUGCAAGUCGAACGGCAGCACAGUAAGAGCUUGCUCUUACGGGUGGCGAGUGGCGGACGGGUGAGGAAUACAUCGGAAUCUACUUUUUCGUGGGGGAUAACGUAGGGAAACUUACGCUAAUACCGCAUACGACCUACGGGUGAAAGCAGGGGAUCUUCGGACCUUGCGCGAUUGAAUGAGCCGAUGUCGGAUUAGCUAGUUGGCGGGGUAAAGGCCCACCAAGGCGACGAUCCGUAGCUGGUCUGAGAGGAUGGUCAGCCACACUGGAACUGAGACACGGUCCAGACUCCUACGGGAGGCAGCAGUGGGGAAUAUUGGACAAUGGGCGCAAGCCUGAUCCAGCCAUACCGCGUGGGUGAAGAAGGCCUUCGGGUUGUAAAGCCCUUUUGUUGGGAAAGAAAAGCAGCAGGUUAAUACCCCGCUGUUCUGACGGUACCCAAAGAAUAAGCACCGGCUAACUUCGUG
rnacentral:rRNA from 1 species